rnacentral:rRNA from 1 species
UGGGGAAUAUUGCACAAUGGGCGAAAGCCUGAUCCAGCAAUGCCGCGUGUGUGAAGAAGGCCUUCGGGUUGUAAAGCACUUUUGUCCGGAAAGAAAUCCUUGGCUCUAAUACAGUCGGGGGAUGACGGUACCGGAAGAAUAAGCACCGGCUAACUACGUGCCAGCAGCCGCGGUAAUACGUAGGGUGCAAGCGUUAAUCGGAAUUACUGGGCGUAAAGCGUGCGCAGGCGGUUUGCUAAGACCGAUGUGAAAUCCCCGGGCUCAACCUGGGAACUGCAUUGGUGACUGGCAGGCUAGAGUAUGGCAGAGGGGGGUAGAAUUCCACGUGUAGCAGUGAAAUGCGUAGAGAUGUGGAGGAAUACCGAUGGCGAAGGCAGCCCCCUGGGCCAAUACUGACGCUCAUGCACGAAAGCGUGGGGGAGCAAACAGGAUUAGAUACCCUGGUAGUCCACGCCCUAAACGAUGUCAACUAGUUGUUGGGGAUUCAUUUCCUUAGUAACGUAGCUAACGCGUGAAGUUGACCGCCUGGGGAGUAC